AUCCACCAAAUAGCCAACACACAUCAUUACAAAAGUCGCAUAAUUAGUUGCGUAGUCGCGUCUACGCGAAGAAACUGUCCCGUCUAUACCUAUAUAUACCUAUCCACGCAGCACCGUUACAUUGCAACACCACAUGGUCGAGUAUCGGUCGCGUGACACGAGCUAAAAAGAUAUUACCCAGUUUUAUCCUCGGUCGAGACCGCGCUCUUUCGAUCGCUGUUUGGCUAGCCUCCGUUUCGCCCUCGGUCUCGUUUUCGUCCCGGGCAACACUACGUGAUAUUACUUGGUGAAAUAAACGACCGUCGAACUUCGUGCUCUACGAGGCACCACAUAAAAGUCUGUUAUUAGAAGCCCAUAGUGGAAAUAGCCGGCGUGGAAGUCAUCUCGGCACGUAACGAGGUAUCGAUACGUCACUGCGAUCCCGGACGCACGUAUAGGUAUAUUCACGCGAUCUUUUUUUGUAUUGCUAUACACGCGAAUGAAACGUUUCACGGAGCACCGGACUGUUUGUGGCAACACGAAAAGAAAGCGGGACGAGGAAUGCAACACACACGACGUAGUGAUGGAUCAGACUGGCGAGAGACGCCAGGUGCUAGAAGCAAACGAUCGGUCAAACUUCUCUCUCGAGAUGACGACGGCGAUGAAUGCACUUCACACGACGGCGUUCUACAUGACACACGCGGUUCUCAUGACUUAACAAGAACGCCUCCAGGUGCACAUCCCGUACAUCGCACAUACGUGUACAUCCGACACUGCAGAGCCACUGAAAGCAGCGCCGAGGUUAGGCUAUCGUAGUGGGGACACCUGUUCGACAUCCGUAGCAGCACUUUCUACGCUCUGACGACGGUGCGUGGCCUCCCGAUAUCGAUAGUGGCCACGAUCGCCGAUAUACGCACUAUCGAGAGCUCCCGUCGAACGAAUCGAGAUUUAUCGGACGCGAACAAUUGAAGUCUUCGACUCCAUUCACGCUCGACUCGUUCUCAUUGAUUCCACUAAGACGAUCGGCGCACCUCUUGUGACUGCUACAGGAAUUACUGUAGUCGUUUCUGUAAUCGUAUGUGGGUCAGUAACGAAGUUUGAAACAUUCAGGCAUGGAUACAUUUUUAUAAAUCGAUUCUUUCGAACAUAAAAAAAUAAAAAAGAUAAAUUGUACAUAUAAUACCAGAUGGGGUUGCCAAUAAGGGAUUCCUACGUCUCAAAUUUGGUUAAGAUUUUAAUAUCGCAUAUUUACGAAAUUUUCGUUUCAUCGUUUAUAUAGCAGUUUUUAAACGCUGGAUAGGAUUAAACGUAUUACAAAGAUAA